rnacentral:rRNA from 1 species
GACGAACGCUGGCGGCGUGCCUAAUACAUGCAAGUAGAACGCUGAAGGAGGAGCUUGCUCUUCUGGAUGAGUUGCGAACGGGUGAGUAACGCGUAGGUAACCUGCCUGGUAGCGGGGGAUAACUAUUGGAAACGAUAGCUAAUACCGCAUAAGAGUAGAUGUUGCAUGACAUUUGCUUAAAAGGUGCAAUUGCAUCACUACCAGAUGGACCUGCGUUGUAUUAGCUAGUUGGUGAGGUAACGGCUCACCAAGGCGACGAUACAUAGCCGACCUGAGAGGGUGAUCGGCCACACUGGGACUGAGACACGGCCCAGACUCCUACGGGAGGCAGCAGUAGGGAAUCUUCGGCAAUGGACGGAAGUCUGACCGAGCAACGCCGCGUGAGUGAAGAAGGUUUUCGGAUCGUAAAGCUCUGUUGUAAGAGAAGAACGAGUGUGAGAGUGGAAAGUUCACACUGUGACGGUAUCUUACCAGAAAGGGACGGCUAACUACGUGCCAGCAGCCGCGGUAAUACUUAGGUCCCGAGCGUUGUCCGGAUUUAUUGGGCGUAAAGCGAGCGCAGGCGGUUAGAUAAGUCUGAAGUUAAAGGCUGUGGCUUAACCAUAGUACGCUGUGGAAACUGUGUACUUGAGUGCAAGAGGGGAGAGGGGAAUUCCAUGUGUAGCGGUGAAAUGCGUAGAUAUAUGGAGGAACACCGGUGGCUAAAGCUGCUUGGUUGCUUGUAACUGAGGCUGAGUCUCUGAAGUGUGUGGUGGCGACGUGAUGAGAUGCUUGGUUGUGUGAGUGCUAAUGCUGCUUGGUUAUGAUGCCGAUCCAUGGCGUGUGACUGGAGCGUGAUGUGUUGUUGUGUUUGUUUUCUUUAUGGAGUGUU